UACGGAGGGGGCUAGCGUUGUUCGGAAUUACUGGGCGUAAAGCGCACGUAGGCGGCUUUGUAAGUUAGAGGUGAAAGCCCAGGGCUCAACCCUGGAAUUGCCUUUAAGACUGCAUCGCUUGAACAUCGGAGAGGUAAGUGGAAUUCCGAGUGUAGAGGUGAAAUUCGUAGAUAUCAGGAGGAACACCAAUAGCGAAGGCGGCUCACUGGCCCGUUACCGACGCUCAGGCGCGACAGCGUGGGGAGCAAACAGG
rnacentral:rRNA from 1 species